GACGAACGCUGGCGGCGUGCCUAAUACAUGCAAGUCGAACGCAGUGGGGACGGGUGAGUAACACGUGGGUAACCUCCCAUCAGAGGGGAUAACACUUGGAAACAGGUGCUAAACCGAUACUGGUUGAUGGACCCGGGGUGCAUUAGCUAGUUGGUGAGGUAAAGGCUCACCAAGGCCACGAUGCAUAGCCGGUCUGAGAGGAUGAUCAGCCACACUGGGACUGAGACACGGCCCAGACUCUUACGGGAGGCAGCAGUGGGGAAUCUUCGGCAAUGGACGAAAGUCUGAUCGAGCAAUGCCGCGUGAGUGAAGAAGGUUUUCGGGUCGUAAAGCUCUGUUGUUAGAGAAGCGGUAUCCAAACAGAAAGCCACGGCUAACUACGUGCCAGCAGCCGCGGUAAUUC
rnacentral:rRNA from 1 species